rnacentral:rRNA from 1 species
AGUGAACGCUGGCGGCGUGCUUAACACAUGCAAGUCGAACGAGAACGGAUUAUAGCUUGCUAUAAUUGUCAGCUAAGUGGCGCACGGGUGAGUAAUGUAUAGGCAAUAUGCCUCUUACUAAGGGAUAACAAAUGGAAACGUUUGCUAAUACCUUAUACUCCUUAUUAACAUAAGUGAAUAAGGGAAAGAUUUAUUGGUAAGAGAUUAGCCUGUAUUGUAUCAGUUAGUUGGUGGGGUAAUGGCUUACCAAGAUUAGGAAACAUAACUGGAUUGAGAGGAUGAUCAGUCACACUGUAGCUGAGACACGGGCCAGACUCCUACGGGAGGCAGCAGGUGGGAAUAUUGCACAAUGGACGAAAGUCUGAUGCUGCACCGCCGGGUGUAGGAUGACACAUUUCGGUGCGUAAACUCCUUUUAUAUGAGAAGAUGAUGACGGUAUUAUAUGAAUAAGCACCGGCUAACUCCGUGCCAGCAGCCGCAGUAA